AGUGAACGCUGGCGGUAGGCCUAACACAUGCAAGUCGAACGGCAGCACAGUAAGUGCUUGCUCUUACGGGUGGCGAGUCGCGGACGGGUGAGGAAUACAUCGGAAUCUUCUCUUUCGUGGGGGAUCACGUAGGGAAACUUACGCUAAUAUCGCAUACGACCUACGGUUGAAAGCAGUGGAUCUUCGGACCUUGCGCGAAUGAAUGAGCCGAUGUCGGAUUAGCUAGUUGGCGGGGUAAAGGCCCACCAAGGCGACGAUCCGUAGCUGGUCUGAGAGGAUGAUCAGCCACACUGGAACUGAGACACGGUCCAGACUCCUACGGGAGGCAGCAGUGGGGAAUAUUGGACAAUGGGCGCAAGCCUGAUCCAGCCAUACCGCGUGGGUGAAGAAGGCCUUCGGGUUGUAAAGCCCUUUUGUUGGGAAAGAAAAGCAGCAGGUUAAUACCCCGCUGUUCUGACGGUACCCAAAGAAUAAGCACCGGCUAACUUCGUG
rnacentral:rRNA from 1 species